rnacentral:rRNA from 1 species
AACUACCCUACCACAAAUUAACAUUUCUACAUAUAAAAAAUUAAUUUAUACUACAAUUUACACAAACUGCAAAGAAUAUAGAUUUAAACAAAGCAAUAUCCGUGUACCUUUUGCAUCAUGGUAUAACAAGAUAAAUAUUAUAAAUAUUUACCCGAACAUUAUCCGAGCUGAUAUUAUACUGACUAGAUACCAAUGCUACAAUGUUACAAUAUUGUGACAAGAUAUAAUAUCAGAGGCUACAUACCAUCGCGGUAAUAGAUAGCUGGUUACAUAUGUAAACUGAUCUAAGUCAGAACUGCCUAAUGUAAGUUAAUUAUAAAAGGCAAAGCUUUUAUAAUAACACUAUAAAGUAUUAUUAAAGAUAAAAAAUAGGCCUAACAACAGCCACUAAUUCCGUUAUUGGAAUAUAAUUUAAACUUAUUAAUAAUAAAGUAAUUGAAAAUUUGAUAUGUAAUAUUCUAAAUUAAAGAAUAAUAUAUAAUGUUAUAACUAGUAUUUAAACAACACAAGUAUUAUAAUAAAUAAAAUAAAUAAUAAUGAAAUACAAGCCCUAGACAAGGAACUCGGCAAACAUAUAUUCAGCCUGUUUAACAAAAACACCGCCUGUUGAAUAUAUAACAGGUCCAUCCUGCCCAGUGAAAUCAUUUUCAACGGCCGCGGUACCCUGACCGUGCAAAGGUAGCAUAAUCAUUUGCCUUUUAAUUGGAGGCUAGUAUGAAAGGACAAACAAGAAUAUAACUGUCUCCUCUAGGAUAAUAAAAACUGAUAUUAAGGUGCAGAGGCCUUAAUAAUAAUAAAGGACAAGAAGACCCUAUAGAGCUUUACUAAUAAAAGAUAUUAAACUUAAAUAUUAGUUUGGUUGGGGCAACCUAAAUACAAAUUCACCUAUUUAUAAUAAAUAAUAUACACACAACUAAAAAUAAAUUAGAAUUAGCUACCUUAGGGAUAACAGGCUAAUCCCACUAGAGAGACCACAUUGACAGUGGGGGUUGGCACCUCGAUGUUGGCUUAGCGUAACUAUUAGGCGCAGCCGUCUAAUAAAGUUGGUUUGUUCAACCAUUAAACCGCUACAUGAGCUGAGUUCAGACCGGCGUAAGCCAGGUUAGAUUCUAUCCUUAUUAAGAAGAUAAACUAUAGUACGAAAGGACCUAGGGUUAUAAAUUAAAUUUAAAUAAAUAAUUAUUAAUU